CAGACAAACAGGAGGCAGAUAGAAACUGAAUGGGAUGCAAGAAGAAUGUCUGUCUGACUAGAGGGUCUUGUGGUUAAAAUACGUCAGGAGACCUGUGCCCACUUUGCCACAGAACUCCUGUAUAACUUUGGAAAUCUAGCACCAAUGGGCUUGAUCUCAACAGGAACUGAGGAGUUCUGCUCCGACUAACUUCAUUGGGAGCUGAAGGUACUCAGCACCUUGCCGGAAGCACCCAGCCCUUCGCAGCAAUAAAGCCAACAACAGGAGGAGAAAUCUAGGUGGAGAUGUUUUACUUCUGUCAUGCAGGCUAAAGACAUUAGAAUACAGCCUCGCUCCCCUGGUUCGGAUCAUCAGAGUACCUGGCACAAUCACGUCGUAAUCCCUGAGUGUGGUUCCCUGGUACUACCACAAUACAGAUAAGUUUUAUUUUGCACCCACAUUCUCGUCAGCUCGGGAUCCCCAACCAGCUGUCCACACAAAUUAUUCCUGGAAAAAACGAGAGUAUUCUGGACAGAUUGCUUCUAUUCCCAAAUUACAUGAAGGGCCAGACAGAACUUGACCCAUAAAAAGAUCUACUCAGAUACACAUCUUAACAUCACUGUAUGAAUACCAGGGCUUGUAAUCAGAUUUCCUAAAUAAUUUUGAUUUACUCCACAUGAAACAAUAAAAAAAAUUAAAUUGGCGUGUUGAUCCUUUUAUUUUGACUAAAUUAUGAAUUCAGCAAGCUUUUGAUAGACAGACUUUCUUACUCAGUCCACAGAAAAGGAAUCAAACAGAAUAAUAAAGCUAUCUGUUACAAAUUCUUGGUGGGUUUGGGUUUUCUUCCUGUUUAUUUCUUGCUAACAGACUUAGUAUAUCAUUAUAACUUCUACAGUUAGGCCUGGUCUACACUUAAAGUUUUACUACCAUAGUUAUGCCAGU